AGGGUUCGUGCGCCUGCAAUCCUGCAUACAGGAGGUCUUCGCCGGCGGCCGGCCGGUGGCCGCCACAGCCACGACCUGAUGCGCCUCAAGUCCGUGACGGGAGGAGCAGCGCCUGGACGUCGCCUAGCAUCGGAGGGAGGCAGGACGAGGAGUGCCACCGUCUGCGUGCCGGAGGUUUCGCGGUGCCGGCCAGUUGGCCUCCAUGGCCAUGGGCCGAUGGUUUAGCUCCAUCUCCACGGACCUCCUCGUGCCCCGAGCGGCGGCCCACCCAACCUUUUUCGAUCUGCGAUCUCCCCUCCACGAGACGUUCGUGGACUGAGUCGGCUCAUCCCGGACGCCGGGGACGGCAUCCCCUGCUGCGGUUUCCCCGCCGUGUUUGCCUCACAUGGACGGCAAUCCCACUACCUGCUCACUUUGCUUCACCAUGUAUCCACCUCCAAUCUCCUGGGUGUAGAUUGUAGAUCAUGCCCUGGUUCAUGUCCUCUGCUCAUCUUCUUUGUCUGCGCGGAAGCAGGCACGCAUAUUUCCGCGACAGCAGCAGCCGCCGCAACUCCGCCAUGCAACAGCAACCGCAGCAGGGGAUCGGCGGCGACUUGGCAUUCUCGCCGAUACAGGGGAUCGGAAUCGGUGCGUCAUCGUCGUCGGCGGCGGCGGGUGUGGAGAGCACGUUCGCGGCGGAGCAGAUGGCGUACGAAGACGCCUGGAAGGCCAGCAACACGGACUUCACGACGCCCUUUGCCUCCAUUGAGGACGCCAUCACCAGGUGCGCCGAUCUUGAGCCUCCCGUGUGCGCCGCCUCCCCAAGGAGCAGAUCGGCAUCGCUGCGUCAUCGUCGUCGACGCAGGCAGCGGCGGGUGCAGCGAGCACGCGCGCGGCGGAGCAGAUGGCGUACGAAAACGCUUGGAAUCAGGACGCCCUUCUCCUCCAUUAAGGACGCCAUCACCAGAGAUGUCUCUAUUAUAUGCCCCUCGUGAAUGAGUCAGGGUCAUGUCCGAUGAUCCUUGAUCAGGUUAUUGUCUAACUAGCAGAGCCUUCAGAAAUAUGACAGGCUUUAUGGCUUAUGGACUGCAGGAUCUACACAUGAAAAUCUCAUACAUGAUUCUGCAGGUUCAGUUGUACACAACUAAGGAACUAUAUCAUCAAGUGGAUCAAGACAACACUGAAUUAGUUAGAGCUAACGUUAUCGUCAGGAAGCAUACCAUCUUUCUUCCCAAUGUUCUCCACUACUAUGCAUGGAUGCUGCACUGGAGUUGCCUGAUCUGUUUUGAGAUGGUCCGUACGAGCAUGCUUGAAGCCCACUGAAAAGAAAAUGUGAAAAUAUCUCAGGAGGGAGAGCAUGCUUGAAUGUUGCUUGGGUGAGUGCACACUUCAUCUUUCUUUCCCAAAUUGUGCUUGCUUGACCGUUGUUUGCUGGCUUUGGUUGCUAUCGCCCAUGGCUUCCAUGUGUGCGACUACCACUCGCAUUGUCCGAUGGUGUAACCGGAGACAGCGCGCACUACAACUGAUAUGCCAAUUAAACUAAUAUGGUUCUGCUACUGUAAUUAAUCUGCAAAACGAAAGUAUGAAAUAAAUAAAAGAGUAAACUAUAAAGAGGAAAGGCAUAUGAUCCAAAGCCUUCUAAGACGAGAGCAUGGCAGUUGCCAGUUCUACCGCCACAGUGGCUAGCUAGCCAUGAACAUCUACUAAUUCAAAUUAUUAAUCAUGUCCAAAGUUGAUUGAGAUGCACCUCUAUUUAUAUCAAGACCAAUUCCAGGGUGAGGGAUUUUCCUACAAGUUCAAUAUGUCCAAAGUGAAGAAAAAAGAGAAGUGACGAAUAGGCCAACGUACGCUUUCAGGUGAUGCAUAAAGGUGUUCCGAAAAACAAAAUUCAAAUGUAUGAUAUAAGAUUUCUGUCACACAUCAAAUUACUUUGUAAGUAUUGUUUUCUGUGUUGACAAAAACAUCUCAGAACCUGCAACUCAAAAUGCUUGUGUCAUAGUAUAUUUGUAGGUUAGGACUUAUUUCAUGAAAAAUGGAAGUGAUCUGGGCAACCAGAAAAUGUUGAUUACUAUUCUUAAAGAUCAUUUCUGAUCAUUUUACCGAGGAUUUUAGCAUUACAAUUCACGGAUGCAUUGAUUCAUUUUUUUAGAUAAAAAAAUGGGCACUACCUUACAGAUCUACUGAGUAAGUAGAUCUUAUAGUUGGACUGUCAUGAGCUUUAUAUGACCAAGAAGAUACGCACGUGACCUUUUGGUUUGCCAUUGCGAGUAAAAGACUGACAAAGAUAUAUGUUAGAACUCAUUCAUAGUCUUGCUCCUUUUUUUCAUGAUAUUCGUGCUAGAUCUCACUAAAGAUUUUUCUAUCAUGAUGUGAGCUGUUUCUCUUGAUUUUAUUACAAUUUCUUGUUUAUUGUAGCAUGUUCAAAAGAAUCAAUAUCAUCAUGGCAAGUCGCAAUCUAGAUGCAUUUGCAGGAUGGUCUAUUCACUGUCAUUUGUUGUGUACUAUAAAUAUAUUAUGCAUUAAGAAGAUAUUACAUAAAUUCCUCUGCACUUUAGUGUUAUUAUAUGCUUUGCCUAGGUUUUAUAUUUUCCCCAUGACUGAUGUCAUCUUUUUGUUUCAUGUCUUAAGUUUCAGAAAGUGAUUUUUUCUAUUACUUCACUAUGUUUUCUAAGCAACAAUUAUAUCCUCAGUUUGUGCCAAUUUGAGCUUCCAUUUUAUUCUUGCUGCAUCAUGCCUCUUAGGCUCUUAGCUAUCAUUGUCGGUAUUAUAUUAAUAACUCCAGAUUUGUUCCUCCGUUUGGGCUUCCCAUUAGUACCUUUUAUGAGAGCCUUACUUCCAUUAGGACUUGAUAGCUGCACAAGUGUCUAUGUUCUCAUAACAAAAUUUUGAUCUGCAUGUGAAUUUUUCCAUACCACGUUAUAAUGAUGUUUUUAUGUAUCACUUCCUGGAUUUGUUUUGAGCACAAUUAGGAUAUGAGGAGCUGUGUUGCUUCGGCUGAAGAUAUUCAAAUUGGGUCUAUGCAUGCAUGUUGAGGUCUUUUAAGGACAUGAUCUCACCAUGCUUUACAUCGUUGCAUUUUGUUACGGGUUUGUCGGCCGAACUCCACAACUUGGGGUUGUAUGUUGGUUCCAAUGGAUGUAAUUUUUUUCCAUGCGCCAUGUGGUUCGCUUUUUUUUUUACUGCUGAUGAUAUGUCUAUGUGAAAAGGGCUCACCUACCAUCUGUAUGUAUUAUUGCUACUAAAUAAAAAAUCUUAUUUUGUGAAAA